AUGCAUAUCACAAAAAUAGUGGAGCAUAGCUGUGAGAAAACUAGGACUCUUUCAGAUCACUGCAAUGUGACUGCAAGAUAUGUGGCACAAAAGAUGGAAACGAUUGUGCAAGAAAGUCUCAACAUUAGUAUUAGGGCUUUGCAAAAAACUGCAGAAGAUCAUAUUGGCUUCCCUGUCAGCUACAUCAAGGCUAGGCAUGCGAAGGAAAAGAUAUUCCAGAACUUGUAUGGAACCUAUGAGGACGCCUUUUCGUAUGCCCCCAGAAUGCUUCAUCACAUAGCAAGUGCUGACAUGGGGACUCAAGUUUGGCAGAGAUAA
rnacentral:rRNA from 1 species